rfam:Hordeum vulgare subsp. vulgare, WGS project CAJW01000000 data, contig: morex_contig_2604459
AUGAUACUCCCUCCAUCCUGAAAUUCUUGUCUUAGCUUUGUCUAGAAAUGGAUGUAUCGGAAUACUAAAUUUGAGUAGAUACAUUUGUAUCUAAACAAAUAUAAGACAAGAAUUUCGGGACGGAGGAAGUACUUU